UACGGAGGGGGCAAGCGUUGUUCGGAGUUACUGGGCGUAAAGCGCGCGUAGGCGGUGCGGUAAGUCAGGGGUUAAAGGCUGCAGCUCAACUGCAGUAAGGCCUUUGAUACUAUCGUGCUAGAGUGUCAGAGAGGAUGGCGGAAUUCCCGGUGUAGCGGUGAAAUGCGUAGAUAUAUGGAGGAACACCGGUGGCGAAAGCGGCUCUCUGGACUGUAACUGACGCUGAGACGCGAAAGCGUGGGGAGCAAACAGG
rnacentral:rRNA from 1 species